rnacentral:tRNA from 1 species
GGGCGAUUAGGUAAGUGGUAUACCAGGCGUCUCCAAAACGCCAAUCGGAGGUCCGAUUCCUCCAUCGCCCG